rnacentral:rRNA from 1 species
UACGUAGGGCGCGAGCGUUGUCCGGAAUUAUUGGGCGUAAAGAGCUCGUAGGUGGCUUGUUGCGUCUGCCGUGAAAGCCCGUGGCUUAACUACGGGUCUGCGGUGGAUACGGGCAGGCUAGAGGCUGGUAGGGGCAAGCGGAAUUCCUGGUGUAGCGGUGAAAUGCGCAGAUAUCAGGAGGAACACCGGUGGCGAAGGCGGCUUGCUGGGCCAGUUCUGACGCUGAGGAGCGAAAGCGCGGGGAGCGAACAGG